rnacentral:rRNA from 1 species
AUACAUGCAAGUCGAACGGUAAGGUCCCGCUUGCGGGAUACACGAGUGGCGCACGGGUGAGUAACGCGUAUGCAACCUACCUUUAACUGAGGCAUAGCCCCGAGAAAUCGGGAUUAACUCCUCAUAAUAUUCUAGAAUGGCAUCAUUCAUGAAUUAAAACUCCGGUGGUUAAAGAUGGGCAUGCGUGACAUUAGCUUGUUGGUGAGGUAACGGCUCACCAAGGCAACGAUGUCUAGGGGUCCUGAGAGGGUUUCCCCCCACACUGGUACUGAGACACGGACCAGACUCCUACGGGAGGCAGCAGUAAGGAAUAUUGGUCAAUGGACGCAAGUCUGAACCAGCCAUGCCGCGUGAAGGAUGACGGCCCUACGGGUUGUAAACUUCUUUUAUAUGGGAAGAAUCCCCCGAACGUGUUCGGGGUUGACUGUACCAUUGAAUAAGCACCGCUAACU